AUAGGUAGCUUGUACAAGUUGCUUCGAUACCCUUUCUAUGGGUAAAGAUGAUCUUAUUUUUCUAUGCUUCUUUCAGAGGCCUUGGACUACUGAGUAUUUAUAAGGAAAUUUGUGCCCAGGCCAAGCUGGAUGUGGGGAAGGGGCUGGAAUCAGGACCCAGGCUUCCUUGGCCAACUAUUUCAAGCAAAUAAGAUUUCUGUUUAACUGCUAGAAACUUGACCAAGCUAUGUGAUCCUUAUAAAACCUUAGACGACUUGGGAGCCAGUAAGAAGAUGAAGUCUAACAGAUGUGGUUUUGGAUUAGCUGCUGACCUAAUAGCUGAUACCAAAUUAUACGGCAUCAAAGUGUAAAUGUAAUACCACAACCCUACUACCAGCUGUGACAUCUUUGGGUAACUGACCCUAGUGUGCGCUAUUUCCUCCACGAAUACAUGAGCUGAAAGCCCAGAUGGACUAAGACAAAGCCUGUCUUAAGGAGUGUUACCACACUGACUCCGUUUAUCUUGAAAACUGGGAAGAUAUGACCCCAGACAGAGGAGAAAACAGAUUUGGUGAUAAAGUGUUCGAAGAAAAAAGUCAGUUUAAAACUGUGGUCUGUCCAGAUCACUUGCCUUAUCUUUCUGUAAACUAAUUUUUAACGAAUAGCUGGUCUCUUUCAAAGAUGAGCAAUGACCAGGAAGACAUGCAUAAUUAGAGCAAUUUCCAGUUAAACAAGCUGUGUUUAUAUCCCCCCUCCCCAAAACCCUACUAAAAUGAUAGUAAAAGAAUAUAAAGAGGCCUAACCCCCACAGGAGUCAGGAGAUAUCAGGAGAGGAGAGAUUUCAACAAGUUUUUGAAAGACAGAGAUGGAGUAGUGAGAGGCAACUAAAUUAGCAAACUGGAGGAAAACAUUGUUUAAAGUGUAUGCUGACCCCAUGAAGGCAUCAGAUACUGUGUAAAGUGGGCAUGAGGCAUAGGGUGAAAACACCUGAAUGUUAGAUCAAAGGCCCCUUCCUCCACCUCUUAAAGCAAGAUGACUACCAGACCAAGCAGGAAAUUGUAGAUUCAGUCUACAGAAACUAAAUCUGAAAGAUGUUGCUGAUGUCAUGUAGAAUUAGAAACAAGGGAAUUAAGAAUAAGUCAGCCCUAUUGUAUGAUCCAGCAAUUCCACUACUAGGUGUAUACCCAAGAGAAUUAAAAACAUAUGUCCAGGGGAGGGAAGGGAUGAAUUGGGAGACUGGGAUUGACAAAUACAUGCUACUAUAUAUAAAAUAGAUAACUAAUAAGGACCUACGGUAUAGCACAGGGAACUCUUCUCAGUACUCCGUAAUGACCUAUAUGGGAAAAGAAUCUAAAAAAGAGGGUAUAAGGACUUCCCUGGUGGUCCAGUGGUUACGACUCCAUGCUUCCAUUGCGGAGGGCGCAGUUUCGAUCCCUGGUCAGGGAACUAAGAUACUGCAUUCUGCAAAACGCGGCCAAAAAAUGGAAAUAAAAUAAAAUAAAAAAGAGUGGCUAUAUGUAUAACUGAUACACUUUGCUGUACAACAGAA